GAUUUCUGGCUUGCAACAUUUGGCCGGCCACGGUUUCGUGUGUUAGUGCUUUGUGUUCUGGCCAUCCUUCCAAUCGCUGUGCAUCUUUCUUCAUUGAUUGAUGUGCGGUAUUGGAUCUUUUACUUUGAAAAAAUUAGAGUGUUUCAAGCAGGCUUUAUGCUAUGAAUACAUUAGCAUGGAAUAAUAAUUUAGGACUUCGGUUCUAUUUUGUUGGUUUCUAGGACUGAAGUAAUGAUUGAUAGGGAUAGUUGGGGGUGCUAGUAUUCAGCGGCCAGAGGUGAAAUUCUCGGAUUCGCUGAAGACUAACUUAUGCGAAAGCAUU
rnacentral:rRNA from 1 species